rnacentral:rRNA from 1 species
UACAGAGGUCCCAAGCGUUGUUCGGAUUCACUGGGCGUAAAGGGUGCGUAGGUGGUCAGGUAAGUCUGAUGUGAAAGCUCUGGGCUCAACCCAGAAAUGGCAUUGGAUACUAUCUGGCUAGAGGAAUGGAGGGGGGACUGGAAUACUUGGUGUAGCAGUGAAAUGCGUAGAUAUCAAGUGGAACACCAGUGGCGAAGGCGAGUCCCUGGACAUUUCCUGACACUGAGGCACGAAAGCUGGGGGAGCAAACAGG